UACGAAGGGGGCUAGCGUUAAUCGGAAUUACUGGGCGUAAAGCGUGCGCAGGCGGUUCUGUAAGUCUGUCGUGAAAUCCCCGGGCUUAACCUGGGAAUUGCGAUGGAGACUGCAAGGCUAGAAUCUGGCAGAGGGGGGUAGAAUUCCACGUGUAGCAGUGAAAUGCGUAGAGAUGUGGAGGAACACCGAUGGCGAAGGCAGCCCCCUGGGUCAAGAUUGACGCUCAUGCACGAAAGCGUGGGGAGCAAACAGG
rnacentral:rRNA from 1 species